rnacentral:rRNA from 1 species
UACAGGGGGGGCAAGCGUUGUUCGGAAUUACUGGGCGUAAAGGGCUCGUAGGCGCCAACUAAGUCCGACGUGAAAUCCCCAGGCUUAACCUGGGAACUGCGUCGGAUACUGGUUGGCUUGAAUCCGGGAGAGGGAUGCGGAAUUCCAGGUGUAGCGGUGAAAUGCGUAGAUAUCUGGAGGAACACCGGUGGCGAAGGCGGCAUCCUGGACCGGCAUUGACG